rnacentral:tRNA from 1 species
GUAGUCGUGGCCGAGAGGUUAAGGCGAUGGACUUGAAAUCCAUUGGGAUAUUCCCAUGCAGGUUCGAAUCCUGCCGAUUACG